rnacentral:rRNA from 1 species
GAUGAACGCUAGCUACAGGCUUAACACAUGCAAGUCGAGGGGUAACGAGAGGAAAGCUUGCUUUCCUUGUCGACGACCGGCGCACGGGUGAGUAACGCGUAUCCAACCUGCCCCCAACUAGGGAAUAACCUUGCGAAAGUAAGACUAAUACCCGAUAAUUUCCUCAGAUGUCAUCUGACGAGGAACAAAGAUUUAUCGGUUGUGGAUGGGGAUGCGUCUGGUUAGCGGGUUGGCGGGGUAACGGCCCACCAAGGCAACGAUCAGUAGGGGUUCUGAGAGGAAGGUCCCCCAGAGUUGAAACGAGACACAGUCCAAACGGCUACGGGGGGGAGCAGUGAGGAAUAUUGGUCGAUGGGCGGAAGCCUGAACCAGCCAAGUAGCGUGCAGGAUGGCUGCCCUAUGGGUUGUAAUCUGCUUUUAGACAGGAAUAAAGUUAGCCACGUGUGGUUAUUUGUAGGUACUGUAUGAAUAAGGACCGGCUAAUUCCGUGCCAGCAGCCGCAGUAA